rnacentral:lncRNA from 1 species
CGUCAGGUGUAGAGAGCGAGCCACAAUAAUCCAAAUGGCGGCGACACUUUACAUAAUCAAUACAACAGCGACGAGAACAACGGCCAGAGAUCCUGCGGCGGAGAAACCAAUCGACGCGGCGCCACUACCGGACGGUCCAGGAGCAGGAGCAGGAGCAGGAGCGUGAGCUGGCGGCGAAGAGGUUGAUGAGGGAGAUGCUGCAUGCGACGGAGUGGGGGCUUUACUAGUGUUCGGAGACGCCGCAUGAGAUACUGAAACGGUGGCUGAGAGCACGCACAUUACCACCAUUAUCGUGAUCAGGGUUCCAGAGCGAGCCAUGUUCAGAGAGAGAGAGAGAGUGUGUGUGUUUUCUGAACUGCGCAGCAACAGA